rnacentral:pre_miRNA from 1 species
UCAUUCAGAUUCGCCAUCAUAUGUCCAACCGUGCAUUUGAUAUGCAUAUAUAUAUGCAUCAUGAGCCACGGUUGGGCUGUAUGAUGGCGAUACCGAUUGG